AUGGCCGCCGACGAGGCCAAGGCGAAGGGCAACGCGGCGUUCUCGGCCGGCCGCUUCGAUGAGGCGGCGGGCCACUUCGGCGACGCCAUCGCGCUCGCCCCCGACAACCACGUCCUCUUCUCCAACCGCUCGGCGGCCUACGCCUCGCUCCACCGCUACAAGGAGGCGCUCGCCGACGCCGAGCGGACCGUCGCGCUCAAGCCCGACUGGGCCAAGGGCUACUCCCGCCUCGGCGCCGCGCGCCUCGGGUCGGGGGACGCCGCGGGCGCCGUCGAGGCCUACGAGAAGGGGCUCGCCCUCGACCCCUCCAACGCGGCCCUCAAGGACGGGCUCGCCCAGGCCCGGUCGGCCCUCCCGCGCCGCCCGGCCUCCGGCGCCGACGCCAUUGGCAAGAUUUUCCAGGGCCCGGACCUCUGGAGCAAGAUCGCCGCCGACCCCACCACGCGCGCCUACCUCGACCAGCCCGACUUCAUGCAGAUGCUGCGCGAUCUGCAGCGGAACCCCGGCAACCUCAACAACUACCUCUCGGACCCCCGCAUGAUGCAGGUGCUCAGCCUCAUGCUGAAUGUGAAGGUCCAGAACCAGAGCAAUGGCCCCUCCGAGCCGGCGCCGGCGCCGACGCCGGCCAAGUCGUCCCCGCCGCCGCCACAGAAGCAGCCCGAGACCAAACCGAGGGAGCCAGAGCCCGAACCAGUGGAGAUGACCGAUGAGGAGAAGGAGCGGAAGGAGAGGAAGGCGGCGGCCCAGAAGGAGAAGGAGGCGGGGAACGCCGCUUACAAAAAGAAGGAUUUCGAGACGGCGAUCCAGCACUACACAAAAGCCAUGGAGCUUGACGACGAGGACAUCUCCUACCUCACAAACCGCGCCGCUGUUUACCUUGAGAUGGGACAGUAUGAUGAUUGCAUUAAGGAUUGUGACACGGCUGUUGAGAGGGGAAGGGAACUUCGUGCUGACUUCAAGAUGGUCUCGAGGGCACUCACAAGGAAAGGAACUGCUCUUGCUAAACUUGCCAAGACUUCCAAAGACUACGAUGUUGCCAUUGAGACUUUCCAGAAGGCUCUAACUGAGCAUCGAAACCCAGAUACCCUGAAAAGACUAAAUGAUGCUGAACGAGCAAAGAAGGAGCUCGAGCAACAAGAGUACUAUGAUCCAAAACUAGCUGACGAGGAGCGAGAGAAAGGUAAUGAGUUCUUUAAGCAGCAAAAAUACCCAGAAGCAGUGAAGCAUUACACUGAAGCGCUCAGGAGAAACCCGAAGGAUCCGAAGGUUUACAGCAACAGGGCUGCCUGUUACACCAAGCUGGGUGCCAUGCCUGAAGGUCUCAAGGAUGCCGAGAAGUGCAUCGAGCUAGAUCCUACAUUCUCCAAGGGAUACACCAGGAAGGGCGCGAUCCAGUUUUUCAUGAAAGAAUACGACAAAGCGAUGGAAACUUAUCAGGAAGGCCUAAAGCAUGAUCCGAGUAACCAGGAGCUGCUUGAUGGUGUAAAGAGAUGUAUUCAGCAGAUCAACAAGGCCAACAGAGGCGAUCUUACCCCGGAGGAACUGAAAGAGAGGCAGGGCAAGGCUAUGCAGGACCCUGAGAUCCAGAGCAUCCUGACGGACCCUGUCAUGCGGCAGGUGUUGAUUGAUUUCCAGGAGAAUCCAAGGGCUGCUCAGGACCAUCUCAAGAACCCUGGUGUGAAGCAGAAGAUCCAGAAGCUCGUGAGCGCAGGGAUUGUUCAGAUGAAGUAG
rnacentral:rRNA from 1 species